GACACACGAUUUCCGCUUGUGAACCAAGGACGUCAGGCUUCCAGUCACUGACUUGAGCUUCACACAAAAUGGUCCCCAGGAAAGGUUGCAACGAAGAGAUGCACAACUUGAGUUCCACCCGUGAAGUAAACAGGACGGAGUGCGCUGCGGCCUGAGUUCCGCUUCCGGCACAUUACUUCCGCUUACGGAUGGUGCAACAUGCGAUUCCCUGCCCACCGGGCGGCGAUUAAAUCGGAUCCGCUUUCGGCCCAGGAAGGGAAUUGAUCGCAUCGGACAUUGCGGGCCCGAUAGGAAACGCCUUAAGGGACGGGACUAACAGGUCCAAGUGAACAGGUCAGAAACGGCUGAUUCUGACCGCAAAAGAGGCAGCACAGAGCAUAUUCCCUGUCACUCAUCGAGGCGGGGCAGGAAAUAAGUCCCAUCAUCUCAGAGGAACCGGAAUUGGUUGUCUCAAGCCGGAAGUGGACAAUUUCUGGUCCCUCCCAGAACGGAAGUGAACCCCCCAGACCGGAAAUGUGCGAUCCUUUCAACAUGGAGCUGGUUCCACUCACCAGGCUGCUGCAGGGGAAGAGGGUGGUGCUGGCGAGCAGCUCCCCCAGGAGGCGGGACAUCCUGUCCUCCAUGGAGUCCCUGGAGAAGGCGAGAUUUCCGGCUCCGCCCGAAUAUGCCCGGGAGACAGCAAAGCUGAAGGCUCUGGA